rnacentral:rRNA from 1 species
GACGAACGCUGGCGGCGUGCUUAACACAUGCAAGUCGAACGGAAAGGCCCCCUUGUGGGGUACUCGAGUGGCGAACGGGUGAGUAACACGUGAGUAACCUACCCUUGACUUUGGGAUAACUUCAGGAAACUGGGGCUAAUACCGGAUAGGAGCUCCUGCUGCAUGGUGGGGGUUGGAAAGUUUCGGCGGUUGGGGAUGGACUCGCGGCUUAUCAGCUUGUUGGUGGGGUAGUGGCUCACCAAGGCUUUGACGGGUAGCCGGCCUGAGAGGGUGACCGGCCACAUUGGGACUGAGAUACGGCCCAGACUCCUACGGGAGGCAGCAGUGGGGAAUAUUGCACAAUGGGCGGAAGCCUGAUGCAGCAACGCCGCGUGCGGGAUGACGGCCUUCGGGUUGUAACCCGCUUUCGCCUGUGACGAAGCGUGAGUGACGGUAAUGGGUAAAGAAGCACCGGCUAACUACGUG